rnacentral:rRNA from 1 species
GACGAACGCUGGCGGCGUGCUUAACACAUGCAAGUCGAACGGUAAGGCCCUUCGGGGUACACGAGUGGCGAACGGGUGAGUAACACGUGGGUGAUCUGCCCUGCACUUCGGGAUAAGCCUGGGAAACUGGGUCUAAUACCGGAUAGGACUCCGGACUGCAUGGUCUGGGGUGGAAAGCUUUUGCGGUGUGGGAUGGGCCCGCGGCCUAUCAGCUUGGUGGUGGGGUGAUGGCCUACCAAGGCGACGACGGGUAGCCGGCCUGAGAGGGCGACCGGCCACACUGGGACUGCGAUACGGCGCAGACUCCGACGGGAGGCAGCAGUGGGGAAUAUUGCACAAUGGGCGCAAGCCUGAUGCAGCGACGCCGCGUGAGGGAUGACGGCCUUCGGGUUGUAAACCUCUUUCAGCAUCGACGAAGCGAAAGUGACGGUAGGUGCAGAAGAAGGACCGGCCAACUACGUGCCAGCAGCCGCGGUAA